GUUCCGCGCCUGCGGAGGGGGAGGCCGGGCGGCCGGAGCCGGAGUCUGGGCUCUGGAGACCCAGCGCGGCUUCGCGGGUCACCGCUGGGCGUCCGGGCGCCUUCCAGGCGGGCCCCGGGCCGAGGCGGAACGCUGACGUUUCCUGGAGCGGACCUUCCCUUUUCUGUGAGGCAGCGUGGAGGGUGCCGCCUCGCCGCGCUGGCCCUGUGUUUCCCACCAGGGUACCAUUUGGCAAGUGUCAGCAGUGAAAACCUUGGUCAACAGAACCAAGCUACAGAGGCUCGUGAUCUUCAGAGGAUUUGUGCCUGAGAAAAUUUGGCAAAAGGGACCCAGUUUAGAAAAAACGUUUGCCCCUCUGGCCAUCCAUCCUGCAGAAGAUGCUCUAUUCUUAGUGGAAUUUAUGGAAGUGUCCAGAUUAAGGCAAUU